rnacentral:lncRNA from 10 species
CACACCCUGUAUAAUGUCUGAGCAGGUUUUCUGCAUAGUUGCCAGUGCUUAUUUUUACAAUCUCUAACAUAACAGCUUCAAAUAUAAACACAAACAUAGCCAGCAUGAACGACAGCAUCUGCAUUGGCCACGGAGCUAAAACAGGCUCUUAGAAAUGUGCUUGACAUUUCCCGUGGCAGCUUCACAGCCUCCUUGGAAAGCCUUGGUCCACCUCUCUGCUGCUGACAAGCUCUGAUUUGGAUGAAGAAAAGGAGGCUCAGAGAGUUUAAGAAACUUACCCUCCUCACACCAUGGAUAACAGGCAGAGCCAAAAGCAAAUGCAGAGACAGUCAAAAUCUCCAGGCCACACUCUGCAAUAAAAACUCAGCAAGUUUAGAGGAUACAGCAUGAAGCUUCCCAGACGGCCAGAAGUUCUGCUGACGGUACUAAAAUUCAGGAGCCUCAUCUAGCAUCCCAGGCAGAUGAAGACGUUGAUGCUCAAAAGUCGCUAAUGAGAAGCUGAGCCAAGAGUCAGAUCCAAAGUCCUUCCAGCUCUGAAGCCUGCAUUGUUUCCAACGCAUGAUGUUGUCUGAAUGGCUCAGUGAUGGCUUGGCUGAAGAAGACUUCAUGAUCACUCCCAUUUUGAAGAUCAGCACAUUGAGGUUCAGAGUGGUGAAAUGACUUGAAGUUCCUGUGGAGAGUAAAUGGGAAACAUCAGAGGAAUGAUUUGAACCCUGGUCUGUCCACCUUCAGUGCCCAUAUUUUGUCCUCCAUGCUUUGAAGCACAAAUCAUGAUUCAGGUGAAGAAAGAUAUUUUAAGAGCUAUGAAGAUUGCUGGUAUUCUCAACAACAAGAGCUCUGUGGUCACAUGUGAGUCUAGUUUGGGUUGUUGCUUUUCAAACUUAUUUGAUUACAAAACUAUAGAUGUCAAUUAUUUUGCAAAAUGCUUAGUGCUGGAGAUGAUGAGUGCCUAGAUGUAAGCAUCUGCUGCUGGGUUUUGCUUUCAGAAGACACAGAGAAAAAUACAAAUUUAUCAAACCUAUUAGCCUAAGAUUAUUGUUAUCAUGAAGCAUUUUUGUUUAUAAAAGUAUUUCCUUUAAUAAGCAUAAGCAUUAGCAGCCCCAUUCACCAACUGUCAACUUGGUGCCUACUCAGAGCAGUGCUUCUACACCCCGCCACCUCCUGCCAGCUGCUGGGGUCCCUGCUCCCUGCUCAGGAGCUCACUGUGGAAUGGAUCUGAAGGUGCAGCCUGGGCAUUGAGAGUUUCAAAAGCUCCCCACAUGGUCCUAACAUGCAGCCAGAAUUCAGAACUAUUGAUUUAGAUUGGUAGGGAGACUAGGAGAGUAGGGAAGAAGAAAUCCAUAGUCUAAAGGGUUAAGGAAGCUCUUAGAGUGACCAACCCAUUCCAGUUUGCCAGGGAUUGUUCUGAAUUGAAAACUGAAAAUCCUGUGUUUUGUGAAACCCCUCAGUCCCAGGCAAACCAGGGUGGCUGGUGACCCAUGGUACAUUUCCGGGUGUUAGGUAAAGACAAAGGCUCUCAAAUGACAAUCUUUGUCUAUGGGAAAUAGACAAAACCUCUCUUUAC